rnacentral:lncRNA from 1 species
GGAAAUGAGAAUAUAGCUGGGACGAGUCGGGGAACGGAUUGACGGUCCAGAUGGUUGUUUUAGUAGUUCUCACUAUUCUAUAAAAUAGUAUGACAAUAAAUGUAAUGAGGACUCCAUUGAGUGUGGAUAUUGUCUAGAAGGCAAUAUUCUUAUUUAAACUCUUAGAUUAUGUUUUGUCGUAUUUUACACGACUGUUGUAUAAUUAAGUUGUAUUUGAAUUUUAUACCAUGUAUUUGACAAUUCAAGAUGGGUGAUGUAUACCUGUUUUGGGGGCGUCACAUUGGUAGCCAUAACUUCACUAAUAAUAUUCCUCUGGUCAUUCAUGUUUAAAUCUAAAAUACCAUCAAGUAUUUUCGUUGAUACGUAAAAGUGCAAUACUUCAU